rnacentral:lncRNA from 1 species
CCGCGACCCCCUUGCCGGCUGCUCCCGCGCGUGCCUGGGGCCGCACCUCGCUCGGCCCCGGGGUGCCCCAGCUGAGCGCGCGGGAACCCGAAGGAAAGACUCAGCCACGUUAAAGCGGGGCGUGGCAGAGGCCUCCGGGCCUCCCGGGACCCCUCUGAAAACAAAAGCGAUUCGCCUCCCCCGCCCCGCCCCCUCCUUUGCAAACUCGAGUCUCCUGGGAAGGAUCCCCCGUUGCCUGCAGACGGGCUCUGGGCAGAUCUGGGUUCAAAUCCCAGCAUCCCGUGCCUUGAGGGAGCCCCCACAUCGUGAGCGCCUCAGCUGUGAGACUGGAUUUACCAACCCACCCCUCUGGUGUCGAUAAAAUUAAGUGAGAUCGUGCAUGCCCAGGGUUGAGAAACUAGUAAGGACCCAAUAAGUGUUAGCUGCUGUGGCUUUUAAUGGGAUUGCCCUUGCUAUGAAAAUAGCUUGAAUCCCGGCUCUGUCACUGGCUCUGGCUGAGGGCCCUAAGGAUCCUGUGGCCCGCUGAGACUCAGUUUUCCCUGUGAUACGAGGCAGACCUUUUCUUCGGAGCUGUGGCAUACAGGUGGGGGUCCAUAAAUGCAGGCUCGUGCCCAAGUGGAGGAGGAGAGUGGAGGCCUCCAUGGAGCUUCUCCAGGGUCCCCGGAGUCUCCAGAGCGUGCAGCUUGGCUCUUGGCUGACCUCGGACUCCCUUAGAAACCGGAGGAUUUUAACAGAAAGAAAAAGAAGGAGGAGAAGGAAGAGAAUGACACCGACCUGGAAUCUGCCCACUUCUCACCCCUUCCCCAACCCCCAGCUGGUCUGGUCCCAUCGCUCACCUGGACCAGCACAGUAGCCUCCUCCCAGGGCUCCCAGCUCCACCCUUUACUUCCUAGUAUAUUUUCCCCAGAAAAGCCUGAGGAUGUUGGGAUCCCUGGGUGGCGCAGCGGUGUGGCGCAGCGGUGUGGCGCCUGCCUUUGGCCCAGGGCGCGAUCCUGGAGACCCGGGAUCGAAUCCCACGUCGGGCUCCCGGUGCAUGGAGCCUGCUUCUCCCUCUGCCUGUGUUUCUGCCUCUCUCUCUCUCUCUCUCUUUCUCUGUGUGAUGACUAUCAUAAAUAAAUAAAAUUAAAAAAAAAAAAAAGCCUGAGGA